AACGCACGAGACCUGCGGACCUGCGGAAGGAUCAUUAGUGAACGCCCUCACGGGCUUAUAACUAUUCCAAACCUCUGUGAACCGUGCCCUUCGGGGCUAUUUUACAAACAUGGUGUAAUGAACGCCAUAUAUCAUAACAAAACAAAACUUUUAACAAUGGAUCUCU
rnacentral:misc_RNA from 1 species